rnacentral:rRNA from 1 species
UUCGUCACACUAUCAUUAACUGAAUCCAUAGGUUAAUGAGGCGAACCGGGGGAACUGAAACAUCUAAGUACCCCGAGGAAAAGAAAUCAACCGAGAUUCCCCCAGUAGCGGCGAGCGAACGGGGAGCAGCCCAGAGCCUGAAUCAGUGUGUGUGUUAGUGGAAGCGUCUGGAAAGGCGCGCGAUACAGGGUGACAGCCCCGUACACAAAAAUGCACAUACUGUGAGCUCGAUGAGUAGGGCGGGACACGUGGUAUCCUGUCUGAAUAUGGGGGGACCAUCCUCCAAGGCUAAAUACUCCUGACUGACCGAUAGUGAACCAGUACCGUGAGGGAAAGGCGAAAAGAACCCCGGCGAGGGGAGUGAAAAAGAACCUGAAACCGUGU